rnacentral:rRNA from 1 species
UACGUAGGGUGCGAGCGUUAAUCGGAUUUACUGGGCGUAAAGCGUGCGCAGGCGGCCAGGUAAGACAGGUGUGAAAUCCCUGGGCUCAACCUAGGAAUUGCGCUUGUGACUGGCGGGCUCGAGUACGGUAGAGGGGGGUGGAAUUCCUGGUGUAGCAGUGAAAUGCGUAGAGAUCAGGAGGAACACCGAUGGCGAAGGCAGCUCCCUGGGCCUGUACUGACGCUCAUGCACGAAAGCGUGGGGAGCAAACAGG